AUCUUUAUUUAUGUUAUGCCUUUAAAAGCUCUUUAUAAAUAAAGUCCCUAAUAAAACAUACAUUUCAUCUCCUACUGCUUUUACUAUAUCAGCUUCAUGGACGUUCACCCUCCAGCCUGACAACUUCCAUCUGAAUUCCUCUUUUCUCUUUCCCUCUUUCUCCUCUCUCACAUGCCCACAUACAAGCAUUCCUGAUCAAACAUACAGAGAGGGGCUUAAUGUUUUCUCUCAAUGUUUUCAUGUAAACACACACACACACACACACACACACUCCUCCCUUUGCAUUCAGGCUGUUGGAAUGUCCCACACGUGGUAGUCCAAACUGCUGCACCGCCUCAAUGCAGAUGAAGUAAAAGGAAGGGGGAGUGAACGGUCCUUAUUUUUGGAUGUCUCUCUGACUGCUCCACUCCUCCAUGCUGUGCUGUUGGAUGUUCCUAGUGUAUGGUCAUUUAACGGAUUAGCGCUUCUCUGUUUGUUUUGCUGACCAGUGUUGUGCUAUGUUCAGGGAGGUGAGGCUUGGCCGGACUGGAGUGGAUGAAAUAAAAUGUCACCUCUUCUUCAAGAACGAUCAGUGGACCUUCGACACCAUAUGAGACAAUAUGGCAGACACGGCCAAACAUCGAAACUUUGGAGGACGUCUAGGAAAAAAAGCACCAUAUCAUCAAGGGGAAUAAAAGCAAAAAAGAUGCCAAAAACAGACACCCAAAACCCUACGCAUGCUGCGCGACACAGGGGCGUGAACCUGCAGGACCCAGACGCACAGUCCACUCGAAGCUGCUGUGAGAACUAAAGGCCUGUCAACACUCCAUCAUGGGAGACCACGACACCUUCUCCUCCCUAAAAUCCCACCCUUCACCCUUUCACCUCCCAAGACGGAUAAGGAAAGAGAAAGAAAGAGAAAGGAAUACCAGGAAGAGCUCGAGGAAAACGCCUCACUCGUGCCACAAAGAGAUUUUUCAAGGAAGACUUCUGGUGGACGGGGCUGAAAGCGAACGGACGAUGGACUCUGUCAUGUCUGGCAGUAAAUAUGGAUUCUGUAUUACUUUCAAGUCAACAAGAAUUUCCACCUCAGUUCAUCCUCAUUAUGCAAGCACCAUGUAGAGAUAAAGGAUUGGAAAAGAGAUAAAGGAACACAGAAUGGA